rfam:Mus musculus chromosome 10, GRC primary reference assembly.
AAUUAGGCUCUACUUAGAGCCACAGUACCUUCCAGUGACAAAAACA